UACGGAUGAUGCAAGCGUUAUCCGGAAUGAUUGGGCGUAAAGCGUCCGCAGGUGGCUGUGUAAGUCUGCUGUUAAAUAGUGAGGCUCAACCUCAUAAAGGCAGUGGAAACUACACGGCUAGAGUGCGUUCGGGGCAGAGGGAAUUCCUGGUGUAGCGGUGAAAUGCGUAGAGAUCAGGAAGAACACCGGUGGCGAAAGCACUCUGCUGGGCCGACACUGACACUGAGAGACGAAAGCUAGGGGAGCGAAUGGG
rnacentral:rRNA from 1 species